GAUGAACGCUGGCGGCGUGCCUAAUACAUGCAAGUCGAGCGAACAGAUGAGGAGCUUGCUCCUCUGACGUUAGCGGCGGACGGGUGAGUAACACGUGGAUAACCUACCUAUAAGACUGGGAUAACUUCGGGAAACCGGAGCUAAUACCGGAUAAUAUAUUGAACCGCAUGGUUCAAUAGUGAAAGACGGUUUUGCUGUCACUUAUAGAUGGAUCCGCGCCGCAUUAGCUAGUUGGUAAGGUAACGGCUUACCAAGGCGACGAUGCGUAGCCGACCUGAGAGGGUGAUCGGCCACACUGGAACUGAGACACGGUCCAGACUCCUACGGGAAGCAGCAGUAGGGAAUCUUCCGCAAUGGGCGAAAGCUUGACGGAGCAACGCCGCGUGAGUGAUGAAGGUCUUCGGAUCGUAAAACUCUGUUAUUAGGGAAGAACAAAUGUGUAAGUAACUAUGCACGUCUUGACGGUACCUAAUCAGAAAGCCACGGCUAACUACGUG
rnacentral:rRNA from 1 species